AACGAACGCUGGCGGCAUGCCUAACACAUGCAAGUCGAACGAAGCCUUCGGGCUUAGUGGCGCACGGGUGCGUAACGCGUGGGAAUCUGCCCUUGGGUUCGGAAUAACAGUUAGAAAUGACUGCUAAUACCGGAUGAUGUCUUCGGACCAAAGAUUCAUCGCCCAAGGAUGAGCCCGCUUAGGAUUAGGUAGUUGGUGGGGUACUGGCCCACCAAGCCGCCGAUCCUUAGCUGGUCUGAGAGGAUGAUCAGCCACACUGGGACUGAGACACGGCCCAGACUCCUACGGGAGGCAGCAGUGGGGAAUAUUGGACAAUGGGCGAAAGCCUGAUCCAGCAAUGCCGCGUGAGUGAUGAAGGCCUUAGGGUUGUAAAGCUCUUUUACCAGGGAUGAUAAUGACAGUACCUGGAGAAUAAGCUCCGGCUAACUCCGUGCCAGCAGCCGCCGUAA
rnacentral:rRNA from 1 species